CCUACGGGAGGCAGCAGUAGGGAAUAUUGCUCAAUGGGGGAAACCCUGAAGCAGCAACGCCGCGUGGAGGAUGAAGGUUUUCGGAUUGUAAACUCCUUUUGUUAGAGAAGAUAAUGACGGUAUCUAACGAAUAAGCACCGGCUAACUCCGUGCCAGCAGCCGCGGUAAUACGGAGGGUGCAAGCGUUACUCGGAAUCACUGGGCGUAAAGAGCGCGUAGGCGGGAUAGCAAGUCAGAUGUGAAAUCCAAUGGCUUAAGCAUAGAACUGCAUUUGAAACUGGUAUUCUAGAGGAGGGGAGAGGGAGGUGGAAUUGGUGGUGUAGGGGUAAAAGCAGUAGAGAUCAAGAGGA
rnacentral:rRNA from 1 species